CUUACACAUGCAAGUCGAACGAGAAAGCUCCUUCNGGGAGUGAGUACAGUGGCGAACGGGUGCGUAACACGUUGGUGACCUGCCUUGAGGAGGGGGACAACCGUGGGAAACCACGGCUAAUACCCCNGGAUGUCUAAACUGUUAGAGGGUUUAGACUAAAACUUCGGUGCCUCAAGAGGGGCCUGCGGGCUAUCAGCUUGUUGGUGGGGUAAUGGCCUACCAAGGCUAAGACGGCUAGGGGGCGUGAGAGCGCGACCCCCCACAAUGGAACUGAGACACGGUCCAUACUCCUACGGGAGGCAGCAGUGAGGAAUAUUGCGCAAUGGGGGAAACCCUGACGCAGCAACGCCGCGUGAACGAUGAAGGCCUUCGGGUCCUCCCCUUCCUCUCUCCCGCGCCCUCCUGCCGCUCCCUCCCCCCUCCCUCCCGCUAACUACGUGCCAGCAGCCGCGGUAAAACGUAGGGGGCGAGCGUUAUCCGGAUUUAUUGGGCGUAAAGCGCACGUAGGUGGCGCUGUAAGUUAGACGUGAAAGCUCUCGGCUCAACUGAGAGAGGUCGUUUAAAACUGCAGUGCUUGAGGUUAGAAGAGGAGAGCAGAAUUCCCGGUGUAGUGGUGGAAUGCGUAGAUAUCGGGAGGAAUACCAGUGGCGAAGGCGGCUCUCUAGUCUACACCUGACACUGAGGUGCGAAAGCGUGGGUAGCGAACGGGAUUAGAUACCCCGGUAGUCCACGCUGUAAACGAUGGAUACUAGGUGUAGGGGGUCAUUUAACCCCUCUGUGCCGAAGCAAACGCGUUAAGUAUCCCGCCUGGGGACUACGGCCGCAAGGUUAAAACUCAAAGGAAUUGACGGGGGCCCGCACAAGCAGCGGAGCGUGUGGUUUAAUUCGAUGAUACGCGAAGAACCUUACCUGGGCUGAACUACGUGGUAGUAGUGAAGCGAAAGCGGAUCGACCCUUCGGGGAGCCUCGAUAGGUGCUGCAUGGCUGUCGUCAGCUCGUGUCGUGAGAUGUUGGGUUAAGUCCCGCAACGAGCGCAACCCUCGUCGCUAGUUACAAGUGUCUAGCGAGACUGCCGGUAUCAAACCGGAGGAAGGUGGGGAUGACGUCAAGUCAGCAUGGUCUUUAUGUCCAGGGCUACACACACGCUACAAUGGUCGGUACAAUAGGUUGCCACACCGCGAGGUGGAGCUAAUCCUCAAAGCCGAUCUCAGUUCGGAUUGUAGUCUGCAACUCGACUACAUGAAGGCGGAGUUGCUAGUAACCGCGCGUCAGCAUAGUGCGGUGAAUGCGUUCCCGGGCCUUGUACACACCGCCCGUCACAUCAUGGGAGUCGGUAACACCUGAAGUCGGUGACCUAACCGAAAGGGGGGAGCUGCCUAAGUGGGAUCGUAACUGGGAUGAAGU
rnacentral:rRNA from 1 species